UGAAGGAGUGUAGGAAAGAAGGCAAAAGAAAUCUGCCAGCAUGGCUGAGAGAGAAGCUUAUCUUGCCUUGGCUGGGUUCACUUUGGUUUCCCUCUUCAGCUUCUUUCCGUCAAUCGCCGUACUAAUGUAUCCCCAAAGGUGCUGAUCCCAGAACAAUAUGCUACAAAGAUGAUUACAGUCUAAAAAAGAAAAGAAAACCCUGUCACCAUGGAUGUUGUAGGUUUCAGCUUUUCACAUUUAAUCCUUUAAUUGGUCUUUCUGGCAAGAAGAAUUUGAUACUUGGCUUUACUGCUGCAUGGAUGAGCUCUAUUGCAAAUCCCAUUGGGAUGAAGUUACAGUCAUUUGGCAGUAAGAAGAUCCUUAGCAACUUCUCAAAAGCCUACCCAGAGGGUUCCUUGUUGACAUCAGAGUUUCUGUGUGAUGUCAUAAAGCCUCUUAGGAAGCAAAAAAAUAGCUGCAGAACCUUUGAAUAUCUGAUGAGACUGUGGCCAGCCCUUAUUCUGCUACUGUGUGUAUCAAGAGCUACGCUAAAGGAGAGUUUGGGUCUUGGCUUGUAGCCAGAACAUUGAUGAAUGCAGAAUACAGAGAACAGCUAAACAGACUGUACGCACAGUGAAAACAAAUAGUGUAAAGACAUUGAGUGCGUAGGACAAUAGGGAGAGAGAGCCUUGUACUGAGGUGUUUGGAGAGGUCUAAUCUAUAUAUCUUUACAGUUUACUAUUGUUUUGUGGACAGUUCUGUAGGCUAUCUGCCUGCUGUUAGGCAGAUCCAAACAAAGGCUGAGUAACCGAGUAACAGACUCUUUGGAAGAGAAAGAUAUGUCUUAUGGGAGCACACAAGUAAGGUGCCUUGUAAUCUCCCAUGCCCCAGGUCAAGAGCAAAUAGCAGCUUCUUCGAAUUCCAAAUGAGCAGUUCUUGAGAGGUACGAAUGCCAGACAUCAGUGAAAAGAGAAUCAAAAAGAGCUUUCCUGGAGUGAAGGAGGAGAUGAGGGAGGGAGAGCGGGGGAGAAGGUUACUCAGUACAAGCAACAGUGGAAAUUCCAGAACUCAGGGAAAGGCGGUGGACAGAAACUGCAGGAAGGGAAACGUGAAAGAAAGGCAGAAUGGAAGCAAAGGUUUCUGUGAGAAGAGGAUGCAUGCGGUUGGCAGGUGAGGGUGUACACGUGCAUCUCUACAUCCAAAUGCAUCUGUAUUUUGUAUGUAUGUAUACAUAUAUACAUGUAUGUAUGUAUAUUUGUAUGCAGCUGAAAAGGUUGUCUGAAUCCAGACUUAGCAGUCA